AGGGUUGUUUGAUAGGACAGUAGAUCAGAGACUGUUUUAUUAUGAGGUCAGCUAUUCUCAGAACAGAACUUAAGGAGGAGCUAUAAGCUAGCUCAGGCUGAGGGCGGUGGUGGGGAGGGAUCCUAAGUUCAGGUGCCUGGGGUAAGGAGAAAAGCUUCACUCAAGUUUGGUCAAGUCAAUAUAUAGCAGGUGUUUUGUCCAGGUUGGUCAGUGGAGAGCACUUCAGAUAACAUUUAUGAACCAAAGAAUGGGAAUUUCAAUGUCCUGAAUCUGCCUUGUCAUAGCUAUUGAAACAAGGAAACGAGACAGCUGGCAUCAGAAGCAGAAACAUUCAGUUCGUAGGACAUCAGAAGAAGCAGUGGCAAGACCCAUCGUGAUGGACUAGUUCUGGGCUCUGAGCCUCGCUGCUCUCCAGGUUUCUUUUUUCCUGCUCCUUUUCUGAGGCUGGUUUUCCAGCCUUCUGAAUUUCUUGGCACUAACCGACAUCCUUAUAAUAAACUCUUUUUCUGCUUAAGGCCCAGUGGGAAGACAAGUGUCUGCAACUCAGCGAAAGAACUAUCUCCAGACACUGAUGCUGCUGGCACCUUGACCUUGGACUUCCUGUCUCCAGAAAUGUGAUAAAAAAAGAAGAAGGAAGAAGCGGAGGAGGAGAAUAAUUACUUAAGCCAAAGACUUCUUGGAACCAAUUUGGGAAGUUACAUCAAGUGAUGACGCUGGCUCUAUUGAUCUCAUCUUGGAAUUAAUAUUACAAAUUUAGGUAGGAAAUGCAGGAAAAAAUGGGAUAAAUGGCAGUGUUUGAUAAUUUAAUUAUUGGCUGG